GGCAGGCUUAACACAUGCAAGUCGCGGGGCAGCGCGUAGAGUGGCAACACUUUAUGGCGGCGACCGGCGGAAGGGUGCGUAACGCGUGAGGAACAUGCCUUAUACAGGGGGAUAAGCCGUGGAAACGCGGUCUAAUACUCCAUAGGUUAGAGGUAGGACAUCCUACUUUUAAGAAAGCAGCGAUGCGGUAUAAGAUUGUCUCGCGUAACAUUAGCUAGUCGGCGGGGUAAAGGCCCACCGAGGCUACGAUGUUUAGGGGUUCUGAGAGGGAGAUCCCCCACACUGGAACUGAGACACGGUCCAGACUCCUACGGGAGGCAGCAGUGAGGAAUAUUGGACAAUGGCCGGAAGGCUGAUCCAGCCAUGCCGCGUGCGGGCUAGGGCCCUAUGGGUCUUAAACCGCUUUUGUGCGGGAGCAAUAAGCGCUACGUGUAGCGCGAUGAGAGUACCGUACGAAUAAGCACCGGCUAACUCCGUGCCAGCAGCCGCGGUAAUACGGAGGGUGCGAGCGUUAUCCGGAUUUAUUGGGCUUAAAGGGUGCGUAGGCGGGCUGUCAAGUCUGCGGUGAAAAGCCAGGGCCUAACUCUGGUCGUGCCGUGGAAACUGGCGGUCUUGAAUGGCGAUGACGUUGGCGGAAUGUGGGGUGUAGCGGUGAAAUGCAUAGAUAUUCCACAGAACACCGAUUGCGGAAGCAGCUGACGAAGGGCCUAUUGACGCUGAGGCACGAAGGCGCGGGGAUCGAACAGGAUUAGAUACCCUGGUAGUCCGCGCGGUAAACGAUGACGACCGGCUGUCGGCGGUAUACUGUCGGUAGCGAAGCGAAAGCGCUGAGUCGUCCGCCUGGGGAGUACGGCCGCAAGGCUGAAACUCAAAGGAAUUGACGGGGGCCCGCACAAGCGGAGGAACAUGUGGUUUAAUUCGAUGAUACGCGAGGAACCUUACCCAGGCUCGAACGGCGUCCGUUAUAUAUAGAGAUAUAUAGUCGUAGCAAUACGUGGGCGUCGAGGUGCUGCAUGGUUGUCGUCAGCUCGUGCCGUGAGGUGUAGGCUCAAGUGCCAUAACGAGCGCAACCCCUGCCGUCAGUUGCCAUCGGGUCGUGCCGGGCACUCUGUCGGGACUGCCGCCGUAAGGUGUGAGGAGGGAGGGGAUGACGUCAAAUCAGCACGGCCCUUACGUCUGGGGCGACACACGUGUUACAAUGGCAGGUACAGAGGGGAGCGAGCCGGCGACGGCGAGCGGAUCCCGGAAAGCCUGCCUCAGUUCGGACCGGAGCCUGCAACUCGGCUCCGCGAAGCUGGAUUCGCUAGUAAUCGCGCAUCAGCCAUGGCGCGGUGAAUACGUUCCCGGGC
rnacentral:rRNA from 1 species